UUAUAUCUAGUGAAAGACCUUUAGUGAGUACAUGGCAAUAACUGACUGUACUUUCAGGUGCUCAUAGAUAUAUUCACUCAUCUCAUGCAAGGAAAUACAAUCUGUCAUCCUGUGUAACAGAAGAGUGGUAGGCAGAACCAGGUGCAAACUGCAGUUACCUAUCCCCAUCCUCACUGAUUUUAGAGAUUUUUCAUGGAUCAGUCAGAGCAGUAGGAAUGCUGCUGUUCAUUUUAGUUGAUUUUAGCUGCUGGAAACUUGUCCUUAUUGAUUUAAAUACAGCAGUUCUUAUUUAUGCAGAACUCAUGAUCGAAUUAUUUGGCUGGGGCUGGAAGAAUGUGACCUUUAAUGCAUAAGUAAAUAAGCCUUUCCGUCAUGUAUAAUCUCUCCCAUAUGACAGAUCUGUGACUGUCUAAAGUGACAGAAAGAUCAUAUGAGUCUUUAUUUUUUGUGGUAUAUUAUCAGAAAAAGUCACAAAUCAUUCCUGUCCGUGUGCAGAGAGCAGCUAAUGAAAAAAUUUCAUUCCAGAGUGGUCUCUGUGAUGGAUGUAAAGUUGUAAGAAGUACAGUAAGUAAAAUAAAGCAAGGUUACUCUAAUCUCUUCUAUAAAGCAGAUAGGAAAGGAAAACAUGAUUUAAAAUAAACUCAAACAGAGAAAGUAGGUAACAGGCCCCUGUUCCAUUUCCCUCAUUCAUUCAUAAAUUCCAAUGUUUCUUCUUCAAUUUUAGGAGAAAAAGCAAUAUUCUGAGCUAAAGCUAAAAGUAAACCAAACCUUAAUGUAAUAUGGAGUAGAGAGAGUGAGUACCAAUAGAAGAAGGAUCCAGAAUGUUUUUGACAGCAUUUUUAAGAAGCAUGUGCCAUUAGCUCAUUAUUUUUUUAUUCCCACACUAUAGAAAAAGAAAAAUUUAGGCACUAUAGUACUCCUCAGCAAAAAUAAAAAGGUCCCUGUUAACAGUCAGCCUACUGCAGAAGUACCACUCUCAAAUAUUGCUGUGUAUGUAUAGGGUGGUGUUUCUGAUCAACAGAAAAAGAGCAUCAGGACAGGAACCAUUAUUUUUGGUACUUAGUUUUGCACUGAGCAUAGUGAGGUGCUAAUGCAGCUUGUGUGUUAUAGAGUCAUAGAAUGGUUUGGGUUGGAAGGCAUAUUGAAAAUCAUUUAAUUCCAACCCCUCUGCUAUGGGCAGAAACACCUUUCACUAGACCAGGUUGCUCAGAGCCCCAUCCAAUGUGGCUGUAACACUUCCAGGGAUGGGGCAGCCACAACUUCUCAGGGCAACCUGUUCCAGUGCCUCACCACCCUCAGAGUAAAGAAUUAUUUCCUAAUACCUGAUCUAAAUCUACUCUCAGUUUAAAGCCAUUGCCCCUUGUCCUGUCACUACAUGCCCUUGUAAAUAGUCUCUCUCCAUCUUUCCUGUGAGUUCUUUUCAGAUAUUGGAAGGCUGUGAUUAGGUCACCCUGAAACCGUGCCUUUCCCGGACUGAACAAUUCCAAUUCUCUCAGCCUUUCCUCAUAGAAGAGGUGCUCCAUCCCCCUCAUCAACUUAGUGGCCCUCCUCUGGACUCACUCCAACAGUGCAGGGGGAGUACUCCCUUCCAGUGCAGAGCAUCAGAAUAAAGGAAUGUCUCUGAGAAGGAUGGCUUCCUUUUGCUGCCUUAGGCCAAGAAGUCAGAAUGCUUCUCCUGAGAUGAUGCAGAUAACUAUGGUUCUGUAGUGCCCAGUACCUACACUGAUGCCAUCUUCACAGUAUCCUGAUCAUGGCUAAAGGUAAGAUCUGCAGGACUGGCUUGGCUAUUGCUAGACCAGUUACUAACAACUACACUUGUAAGAAUUUUGAAGUUAGACGGAGUGGAGAGUCUUUGCGGGGCACAUUUGCUGCAAGUAGAGUGGGGUGAAGCAGGAUCCACCCCUGCUGACUUUGAGUUCUGUGGUUCUUGCUCUCUGAGUCCACUGCACAAAAAGAACGUUUCCAAAGGUGCGAGCAUUCUGCUUAUCAUGGGGGAGAUCCUUUGUGUCCUCUGUAUUACCUCAGAAAAAAUAAUAUGAAGCACAUAGAUUUGAAAUACAUGCUCUGCAUCUCCACUGUGAAGGGGGCAGAUCAGGCACCUACAGUCCUCUGUGGCUGACAGGAAACUGCUGUGCAGAGAAUAAUAGAUAAUGUUUGUUCUCAAAUCCUGUACACAGGUUCUGUGUACAAUGUUAACAUCUGCAGACACAAUAUGAGGGUCAAAAAAGGUGGGCCAAAUUGACUUACUUUCUCUUCUUACAUGGCUUUGCAACAUUUGUGAUUCACUGGUCUUUUUAUGCUCAAACAGAAAUCUAACUUGUACAAGUCAUAAACCAACCCACAAUUACCAGAGCACCCAUGUGAAAACACCUUUCAAGAGAUAGCAGAUUUCAGUUUGAAGCCUAGUUAUUACACAUAAUAAGCCAAAUUCUCCACUGACGUCAGUGUGGCAGGGGUGUGAGUCACUACUGAAUUUGGACUAGUUUUAGCGGAAAAGAUGGGAAUGAUAAAAUGCACCUUGGCACUGUCCUUUUAGUGAAAGCGAACUUUGCUCGAGCAAACACUUUGGAGUUAUAACACUCUGGAGUGAGGGGACAGGCCUGGGCAUAAUAAGAAGGAUCUCUUUUCAGCUGCAUGUUCUUCCUAUGACCAGCCAAAAGUGUUUCUGUUGUUUGAAGGAAAACCAACCUCAUUAUAUACAGCAGACUUGCUUUUAAUCAGUGUUGAUUAGAAGUGAUGCUGCCUACCUGCUUUGUCUUUUAUUGCAGCAGGACCAUCUCCUAAAGAUGAGCUUUGCCAUAAGUACCAUUUUUUAAUUAUAAUAAUUAUCUUUUUGGUUAAGCUCUGGCACAGGCUGUUUGGUAGUGUGGUUGACUGCCUGACUUAACCAAAUAGUUAUGCCAGGCACUGCAGCUUUCUUGACAGAUAAAGCAGUAAUAUGGCAGUCAUGCUUCAACUUCUCAGAUGGUUGCAGGUGUGCUUGCAGAUGUCAUCUGCAAUUGUCUGACACCAUUUACUUUACAAUGACCUACAGUAAAGGAAAGGAAAAAGAGCAGAGCUAAGACAGACAAACUGAAGAGAAAAGUGGUGUGUCUGUUGGUAACCAGCUUUAUAGGGUUAUAUGCAGCUUUUACUGAACACUUUGACCUGUAGAUAGCUUAAUUUGCACUGAAAUUAAAGGAAUUAAUUGAUGUUUAUGCUGCUACUCAAGAGAUCAAAAGUAUUUCACUGACAUCUUGCUAUUUAGUCUAGAAAUCUGGAUAUCAAGAACUGAAAAUAACAGAAUGAAUGUUUGUCUUUUGAGUAUUUUAACAGGUAGGCUCCAAACUCCUGACAGAACAGGAACCACUGAAAGUGACAGCAGUGCUUGAAAUCCACCUGGUAAACAAAACUGUAAAGCUUCACCUAGAAGGUCAAUGGGAAAUAGUUGAAGUGGGAUGAUAUGUUUAUGAAAUUAUUACAACUGACAGUGAACUGUCCCACACUGUGAAAAUUAAGGGUGUUCAGUCCAAUGACUUUAAAGAACUCACAUGUUAACAACACUGGAGAUCUAGUGCAGAAGGCUCUGCUCUUCAUUGAUCGUAAGGGAUGCAAAAUAACCAUCUUUGAACAGUGGGUGGAUCAAAUGCAAGACAACAGGGUCUGAGCUGUGAAAUCUGUAAAGCAAAAACAAAAAACCCCAGAGUUUGGGCUGACAAAAUUGAAAGCUGCGGUCUCAUAAAGCCUGUCUGUGGACAGCAAGCAAAAAGAGCUCCUUUUCCCACUUAAAGUCCCAAGCCUUGUGUCUCUCCUGCACAGGAGACCAUGUUAUAUCCUGCAAAGGCAAAGCCACCUGUUUCAAUUUAUAAGGUGCUUGCUGGUAUGUGCCACUUUUUCUUGCCAAUCCCUUCCCCUUCCUGAAGGGGAUGAAGUGAGUGAUUGAGAGGUCUCCUAAGUGCACCAUGAGGCAGGAAGGGAAGAGAGAAGAGUUUAUUUUUAAUGCUACUGAGCUGAGUGCAAUCAGGAGAUUGCAUAGUGACCAUAACAAUGACAAUAGAGCAGUACCAGUGUAACUGUGGAGGGUAAGCAUGAAUGACUCAGGAGAGGAAGAGGAGGAGGAAUAGUUGUCUUUACACUGUUGUUCAGUGAACUCUGCAGUGGAGCAGUGCUCCUUUGCUGUAACAGAUAGGAAACUAAUGUAAAAUUACACUGCUCUGCAGUCUUUUUAUUGUUUAACAUGGAAUAUGACACUCGUUUCUACCUCCUCUUGGUAAUAUGAAGGUAAUAAUGAGGGACUUCCCUUUGCUGGAUGAAGUGGUAGAAGCACAAAGCAGUAAAUCUUCCAUUCAAGUCCUUACACCUGUCACCUUAACCAGCCUAGUAAAGUGUAUCAUAUUUUUCAUUUUAAUCAGGGUUGCUCUAAUGUAUUCUUAUCUUGAUUCUUUAAAGUGACCCAUGGGACAUUUGACUGCAGUCUGCUGAGGACCAGAAUCACAACAUGAGACUGGUUCAGCAUCUUGAAAGGCCUGUGAGUACAGUAGUGUGUCACAGUUCUCAUGCUGUCAGGACACAUACUGAAGACAUGAGCUGAGGACACCAAAAAGUGGAGAAAGUGAACAAAGGUACCUAUCUCUAGUAUAAAGCCUGCAGGAGAGACAAAUACUACUUCUGAACGCAAGGCGUGAAAUGGAGCUGGUAUGGGAGAAGCAGUGGAGUUACAGGAAGGAAUUCUAGCAAUGCCACCUUCAGGUAAGAACUGCAGUAUUCAUCCAGCAGGAACUCCUAUCUGGCAGCUGUUACUUUCUUUUGUUUUUAACAUAUACCACAUUUUGUAAGGUUUUAUGAAAUUCAUCUUGCACAAGAGAACAUUUAUCAUCACAGCUCUGCUGGAUUUUGUUCAGUUUUCAAAGGUGCUGAGAGGAGAUGGAGAGCAGCACAAGGUGUGCAGUCCAUGAACCAAACUGAAAUCAUUCUGCCAUCCUUCUUGCUUAGCUGUCCCCUGGUUGGGUGUGUCAGUUGUAAUGGCAGUUGUUUUUUCCAGCAUAUAACUUCUCACGUCACACCUCAGAUGUUGUUACAGAGGUCACUUUUGGAAGAUUCUCUGAUUCCUGACAUGGAUUCUGUCAUCUGAGCAUGGGUUAGGACAGCAGGUACUACAGCAAGUAAACCAUCAUGUUUGAAACAGCCAUUUGCUGUAAAUACAGUGGUGUGGAAAAGGAUUAUAAUUCUUUCAGGCCUCAGUUGGAAUGGGAUGAGCAGUCAGGUGCCAGAAUGCAGAAGUUGAAAUAACAUUAUCAGAGUUCAUGCUUCAAGUACCCUAAUUGUGUCUUGAGAAUGAAGGUAUCAUGACCUGCCAUGAAAUCCCUAGAUAGCUUACUAUUUGAGGCAGCAAAAUAUUUAAAUCUUUAUUGUAUAGGACUUAAAUUUGACAUUAUACAAAACUGCUUAUGGCAGAAGUUGAACAGUAAAAUCAUCAAAUAAGGCAUUAAAGCUACCUCUUCUUUUAUUUUGUUCUCAUUCACAUUUUACAUGUAAAUUACACUUUUUUAUUCCACGUUUUUUACAUUGUUUUUAAAUAUUCCUGUUCCACCAGCCUCACCUGAAGUUGUCCGGAACAGGUGUUCAUCAACAAGCAGUUGAUUGCUGAGGCAUUAAUGUUUCUCUUCUGGUUGCACAGAUAUUAAGAGAAGAGCUGGCAACAUUGCAACCCUUACACUAAUUGCCUUCAGCUGAAACAGUCUGAAGGUUUCUUCUUCCGAUCUUCAGGCAUGACUCAACAGACUGAAGAAUGGCUUUACUUUUCUGUGCAAUCCUCACUCUCUUAAUUUUUUUUUCUCUCUUGGCCUGUUUUUCUUUAAUUCCCACCUCCCCAGGUUUGAUCUCAUUGUGAGGCUGAAGAGCCACAUGGUGGUUUGUGCUGGGACAGCACCACACAUUCAUACAUCCUUUCUGUAAGAUUCUGGGUUGUGUCCUGCCAGAGGAGAAAUCCUGCAAUUAGUGUGUUCUUGGGCAUCUGGUGAAAUACAGUAUCUGCAGGGCUACAGAGGCUGUAGUUGUCUUUUGGCCUUUAUCACAUCAGCUGUCACUUUGGUUUAAAAGUUGACUGUUGGAGAAAAAUCAUACAGUGCUUUAGGUUCAUCAAGUCCUGCAUAACUGCUCACUGUGGUUAUGGCAACUCUUUCUAUAAACCUCCCUGUGGUGGUGAGAUAGAGGGACUUCUGCUGCACAACCCAGCCCUUUACAACUGGAACAGCAGUGUUCAACAAACCAUAAAACAUUGGGGAAGCUCUCUGAUUCAUCAUGAGAAGCAGAACUUUUCAAGCAUGCAACUACACUUCAUGUUAACUGAAGUGAAAUCAUUCUUGAUUAAACCUUGAGUGACCUAAGGGAGUCACCGGGUUGUAAAGACACUGAUUGAAGUCCCAAAACUGUCUUGUCUGAGGUACAAGUUCUGUUACAUGGAUGUUGGGCUCAUUUCUGCAGAGGCUAAUGGCAGUUUUUAUGUGCUUUCCUUCUUUUUUAAGCCUACUACAUGAGCUGAAGCUCCACGAGGACCCUGCAAAAUCAGCCCCACUGUAAGAAAGCAUCUCUCAGUCCAAACUGUACAAGUUGAUCUUGUUGAACCAACUGUGUUCCCUCAGCUUUCAGGAUGAUCAAACUAAUGAACUGUAGCAUAAGGUUUUGUGGCAUCUCCCAAGCCAAGCCAGCUUUGUGCACUUUUCUGGAGACAAAGCCUGCCAUUGCCUUUACAACUUGAGAAAAAUCUCCCAGAUUGGUGUCCUUGAAACAUUUUUCUAUCAGGCUGAUUAUGUACAAGUAGCAUUUGUAGACACAGAUAUCCCUUUUGUGCUCAGAGAUGGUGUUUGUUUCUUUUGCUGCCCGAGCCAGGAAGCAGAACAUUACAGUUGCAGUUGUCUUGGCCAGUGCUCUCCACCACCACCACUGAUGUGGCAAAAAGGCAGGCACAUCAGCAAGAGGGAGGACAAGAACCAUACCCAUACCUUAUCCACAGCACCAGUGAUUUGUUUCUGACCUCUACCAGGUUAUCCUCAAGAAUAGUUAUGGAGAUGUCCUUUACAACAUUCAAAUGCAAGUUGCAGGUACAGUAUAGAGAAAACUUGGGCACUUCCAUCACCUCCAUCUGGGUCUUGACAAGGAGGGAUUUUUCUGCUUAUGGAAAAUUCACACAAUUUCUGCACCAAUACUAGGGUUGGGAAGGUUGCUUUUUAAUUUAAAAAAGACAACAAACAAACAAAAAAGAAUGCAUCCAGUGACACAGCCCUUUAUCUAAAAAAAUGCCACAGGAACAAUCCAAAUUUUGUUUCCACUCAAGGGGAGAAAGACUCCCUGCCCAGUGAGGAUUUUCCUACCUCUUGUCAUUGUGUUUCCCAAGUUCUUCCUUCAGACUAACUCAGAGCCUGUUAGGUGAGCCAAACCUGGAAGCAGUAUGGCUCAGGGCCCAGGAAUAAGGAUGGUGCUGCUGGGGCUUUGCUCACUCUGUCCAAAGUGGAGGGAAAGAGGGAAGCAGUUACUGCUUACAGAUAUCCCCAAAUGCUACCUUGUUUUUCAUGCCAUUAUUUGAACAGGCAGAUUCCCAUAACAGCACUAACACAACAGUGUCUGUCCCCUCAGCAGCCUGGUGACAUCAUUUGCAUUGAAAGUGGGUCUGUGCCAGCCAAGUGGAGGCAGGCUGGCUUGGCUACUUAGAGAGACUGUUGGGGUUUAGAGACCUUCUCAGUGUAUUUUGUACUUGUCAUCUCUUCAGAGUGCUUUGUAAAACUAACAGCCUUAUUUCUUCAUCAGAAGGUAACUACAUGCACAGGGCAAAUUAGUCCUCAGGUUGCUCAGGGUAGAAGUACUUUCCUAGACACACAGGGACUUUGGAAGGGAGAGGCUAAAGUGAAAAUUUUUUUGCCUCAGAAAAGGACAAAAGGAGGGUGCCAAACAGAAUAAACUAAUACUUGAAAGGGGUCAUUAAUUCAUAGCUUUCACCUGACUACCCACUAAUCUGCAGCUGGUUGAAGAAGUCCCAAACACCAUGACCGUAAAUCGCAGCUCAGAUGUAGAAGACAAUUAGCAGACUUACGGUGUCCUGCAGUGUGAUGUCAGUAAUGCCACGUGGUUCACAGACACAGAGAAGGUCUACAGCAGUAAGUGUGUCACAAGCCUGCUCCCAGGGACAAAAUACUUCUUUUGAGUCACUGUCUGCAGAUUUUGCAGCAGGGAUAUUUUCCCUCUGGAUUCACAGGAGCAAUAGUACAUCUCCACAGACAGAGGUAAGCAUAAACAUUCAUGACAGCACUGGAGGAACAUGGGUGCUCUUGUACACAAGACUCCCUGUGUGGCCUUGGGUGUAUCACUAACCUGGUCUGCACCUCAGGUGCCCACCUGGAGAUUAGACACAAGAAUACCUCCUGUCCUAUCCCAUCCAUUUGUUGGCAAUCACUUCAGGACCAGGCGUCCUUUUGCUACAUGUGUAUAUAGCACAUUACAUAGCAGUUCAUACAGAUGCUGUUUAAAUUAAAAUUCAGCACAGUCAAGGCCACCCAUGUGCAGGGAGGGAAUAUUAUCAUGUCUUGACAUAACAGAAGAUUGGUGUUAUAAGUCAUUUGUGUUAUAGCACAUUUCCAGUCUGACUAGGAUUUGUUUGCUAAAUAAAAAGCAAACAGAUCUGUUACAUGCAGGAGACUGUGUGACAGUCCUUCAGGGCCAGAAACUGUAAGAAGUCCCUAAAAGAACAUUAAAUUAAACAUUCAGAGCUCACCCUAUCAGGUAAAUGCUUUCUCUGUUGUUCUGUUGCUCCCUGCUCAUGCCUAAUCAGUAAUAGAGAUGUCUCAUCAGCACUGCUCCCAGACAAAACUGAACAUGGCCCAGCUCAAGUCAAAAUGGUAAGUCAUCCUUCUGCCCAGUCUGGGGCAACGCAGAAUGCAGACUUUAAAUGGUGAGAUCCAAGGCAAAUUUUUUUGCUUGGCCUAUUCCUAGUGUAAUAAUGUGGUAAUAUCAAAGAGGUAUAUAUUAAUAUACAUUACUAAAUUAAGCACAUCUUUCUUCAGAAGCCUAUUGAUGUGCUGCUACAAGUCUUCUAAUCCCACUAAGAGUAAUGGGCAAUACAUUAAAAUAACACGAUGAGUAGUUCACUAAAAGGAGUAAUGAGAUGUCAAAUUGUGAAUUUGUAUUUGUCAUCCUUUCCUGAUUGGCAUCACUGGACCAUAGGUAUGUCACUCGGGCUACGUGUGCCUCUGAGAAAGAGCAGUUCCAGUUAUGUGGCCAUAUUUGUGUUCUUGUGUGGAAGUGCUGUAGGCCUGGAUUUUACAGAGUCUAAUAUAACCUCAGUAAUUGCUGUGCAUGAAGGCAAGUGUAGAAGAGCAGUGAAUGGAGGAAAGUUAGGUUGAUAACAGCCUGCCUAUCCUCAGGCAGGACCAGCAGGACACAAGCAGAUGUGAACGAAUUUCCUAUUCUUCAUUAAAAAUGGCAAGUUUAUUUGCACAAACAUGAGAUGGAAGAAAAACUCUGAAAGAAAAGGAGGAAAUGGGCUGUUUUCUCUCAUAAAAGAAUUUUGCCAUGCAGUGAUACAUUUAGAAUGCAAGGGACCUACCUGAUGGGAUCCCAUGCCAGUGCAAAAGGCAGUAAUAAAGACUUCAAGAAAUGUGUUUAAAUACAGGCUGAAAAUGUGAGAUUUGCAGUGGACACUGGAAAUUAAAUUGUACAGGCAGUUCCCCUUGAUUUCCCCAGAGCAUUCUGUAGGCUAUUAAUGACUCAGAGCAACACCAGCAGAGCAAUAUCCCUUCCUUUGCAAGAUCACCUGCUUUGGUUUAUAAUUGGGUGUAAUUUAAUCAUGCAUUUCUAAAGUGCCUUGGGAGCCAAAUAUCCAAAAAGCACUUUACAAUUUAAUGGCAUUAGUGAGAGAAGGCAUUGAUAUAUCCCUGUGGAGCAAAAAUCUGACACCUUAGUUACAGACCAAGAAACAAAGAAAUUAAUGGCUUGCUUACAGUUGCAUAGCAGAUUAAUGGGAGAACGAGAUUUCCAAUUCCUUCCUUUCUUGCUUUGCAGAUUGUGUUUGUUUACAUGUUGAGAUGGGUAUGCUGGUCAGAUGCCAACAGUAAUGUUGUGUGUUGUUCAUUCUUUCUCCUCCCUGGGUUUUCCUUGAUGGGAAAGAAGAUCCUUGUCAUGAAAUGUCAUACCCAAGGUUUUUAAGGUUUGUGCUUGUGCCAGGAGAAGACUCUGUCUUGAUGGUGUUUGCAUGUUUGUGUGUGCAGGAAGUGCAGUGCAGAGGAACCCAUAGUGACUCCAUCCUCAGCAAUGUUCUGGCCUCAGGAUGGAGUAUCCUGGGAAGGACUGUGCUUCCUGUUUCAUUGCCCCACUGAAGAACCACAACAUGAGUCAUAGCAACAACUGCGCCCUGAGCUGUGUUUUCAUCAGCAACCCCCACCUAACAGUGGCCCUCUACAAGGGCAGCAUUAGCAUCACAUCCAAGCCUAAGUUGUGGUUCACCUCAUCAUGUAGCAUCUGUCUACUUGUGAUCCCUACAACUUGCAGCUGCAAACUGAUCGUCUGUGGUAGGUCAGAUUUGCAGCCACUGUGAUUUAUUUGGGUUGGUUCCCUCCAGGCUGAGUAACCACAGAUUUCGUGUCUGAGUAUAGUUUACACCCUGUUAUUUUACGAGGGCAAGUGCACUUAUUGGGACUGGCACUGUGGCUCUGGGCCAGUGUGGCUCUCAUCCUUGUCCACAGGGGAUGAGGUUGCUCAGUCUGUAUGUCCUGGAGUUGAAGCUGCAAGGUCACAUUGUAAGAACUUGCCUUUGUAUCCAAAAAAAACAGCCUCACUCUCUGACUUUGUCUUCCUCUGAGAUCACUGAAAUUUGUCUUCAGUUGCUUUAAGGCAAUAUCACAUCUCUUAAAAUGGCAUAUUUUGGCUAGCAGGCCUCAUGAAUUCCCUAGAUGGCUCAAAGGUAAAUAUGGGUAUUUCUCACUCCCUAACCAGGCUUGCCCUGCACCUGUGGCAUACUUAGCACUUCCAAGCAGUCCACUGAUGCACUCUGACAACAGCUUUAUGCUUCUUUUAUGGCUACUACAGACACCACACUGGGUAAAUCUGUUCUCUUCCUUUGUAGAACGACAGGAUUUUGCCAACAUUGUAUGACAUAGUUAAAUUUCCAAGACACAAAACGGAAGAAAAACAGACCCCCUCUCCUUUCCCUGUUUUGUUAAAGCUCCCACCCAUUGAAGCUUAAAUCCAGUUGUAACACAGAGCUUGGUUCCAGCUGCCUCAAACUGAUUGUGUGAGCCUGAACACUUCCAGGUGCGUGGGGUGAGGUUUUACCAACACUAACCCAUGACCCUCACAUGGCUUCCCGUGUCACCAUGCCCAAACUUAGAGCUUGCAGAGUGGUCUUGCAGCGUGUGCAGCAGUACCUGGAAAGAAACUGUGUCCUGUCAGUGUCAUCAGCCCCUGGCAAGCUCACCCUGCUUAGGGCUGAUUAACUAUAGAGCCUUUGAGGUUAAACAUUUGAGAGCAAGGAUUCUUUUAUCUGACGUUGCUGAAGUGUGUUUCCCCUGUUCUCCCUUUCUAGAGAAAGGCCCUGGUGCCUCAGACCUGUUAGUGUCUUCUGAAAGGGAACAAGAGAGAGGCUGCCAGGCACAGCUUGAAAUGAAACUGAUACAGCACCAAUAAUGAGGGACUAUAUUUGGAAAGAUCUUUUGGAGUUAUUUUUGCCUGAGAUCAUUGCUUCUGGACAGCCUGCUGGCAACUGCUGAGCACACACACACACACACACACACACACACACACACCCCCCACCCAGGAUUAGGUUCUCUCUGCUGAUGUGGAAGUAGCUCGCAGGGGGUCAGCAGAGGGAAGGGAUGCAUACACUGGGUUUCCUGCUCUGAUUUUCAGGCAAACUGAUCUGUCUUUGUGCAUAGAAUACAUGCAACACUUCUUCACUGAAGCCGGACACUGCUCACCCGAAAGACUGAAAGCAAUUCUUAACCAUUUUUUUUUAAGAAUUCCUGGUGUUACCAUGUCUCCCACUUCCCAUGCUCCCUGAUAUGCUCCUCCCUGAAGCCACAGUUUCCUUGUUCCUCUAAUCAGUGGGAGCCUUCUCAGGCUGCCAGCCAGGCUAAGGCAAGGAACUCUGGCAGCACUGCUCACCCUCUUCAGGGAGGGCAGACAGGCCUGGGGGCACGAGAGCAGCUCCCUAUCCCCUGAGAUCUGAUUGCUGGGUAGCAAGUACCUGCUGCCUUCCCACACAGAGCUUGUCAAGGUGAGGACUGGUACAAAAGGAACACACCUCUUCAAAAUUAUUCAGAUCAGCCUGUUUACAGCAGAGCUGGCUGAGGAACCAGGCUUGCAAAAGCACUCUAUGGGUGAGGUGCUGAUUUGUACUGAGAUACCGUAAUGGGAGCCUGUGUCUAAGGGCUCCAAGGGCUCCUCUUUACCUUGACCUGGGCGGUCUCUGGGGAGGGUUUCUCUCCUGGCAUCUGUUUGCAGCUGAGAGAGGUGGGAAAGCAGGAGUCAGAAUAAGAGAUUGUAAAACUGACUUUAGCAGAUAAGGCAUUUACAUCAAAUUGAGCUUAACUGCAGGUUUAUUUGUAGCUCUCAGGAACUAUAUACUUGAUGAAUUUUAGUUCUGGAAGAGUGGUAGUUACUGCUUAGAGAGGUAGUUACUGCUUAGAGAGGUAGUUACUGCCUGGAAUCAGACACUGUAGGCUGGAGGGCAUCAUGCCUCACGUAAAAAGCAAGCCCUCUUCAUUAUGCCAGAAGCCCCUUCAGAGCAGGACUUGAAAUUUCUUUAGGGAUUCUUUCAGUGGUCUUUACCUGAUGACAGGCUAUCCUAAGGGAAUGGAGUAAGGAGGGAUCUAAGGGCUGAGCAAAUCUGCUGAUUUGAAUAGCUCUGUAGGAGUUGCUGGUUUCUAUGCUGAUUCCAUGGAGGUUUAACUUCUGUCUGAAUUCCUCUUGUUCUGUUGUGGUGGGUUGACUCUGGCUGGACACCAAAUGCACACCAAAGCCGCUCUAUCACUACCCUCCACAGCCAGACAGGAAAGAGAAAAUUUAACAAAAGGCUAAUGGGGCGAGAUAGGGACAGGGAGAUCAUUCACUAAUUACUGUCAUAGGCAAAACACACCCAACUUGGGGAAAUUUAAUUUAUUUAAUUUAUAAUCAAAUCUGAGUAGGUUAAUGAGACAUAAAAAGUAAACCUUAAAAUACCUUACCCCCACCCUUCCCUUCUUCCUGGGUUUAACUUUACUCCAGAAUUCUUUACCUCCUUCUCCCAGUGGCUCAGGUGGACAGGGAAUGCGGGCUGUGGUCAGUUCAUCAGAAGUCAUCCUUGUGCCUCCUUCCUCUGCUCUGAUGCGUUCUCACAUCUCUCUUCAGCUGCAGUUGCUGUUGCAUGGUUUCUUUUCCCCUUUCAUAAGUCUGUUGACACAGAGGCACUGCCACCAUCGCUGUUGGGCUCAGCCUUGGCCAGCAGCGAGUCCAUCUUGGGCCCGUUGGCUCUGCUGGGCACAGGGGAAGCUUCUUGCACCUUCUCACAGAAGCCACCCCUGCAGCCCCCACAGGACCAAAAGCUUGCCAUGCAAACCCAAUACACGUGUAUUCUUCUGUUUCUCUCCUUCAAGGAAGGACACUGGCAUUCUUCUGCUUAGCCAUGUUCUUCAGUUUUAGCCCCUUUUUUAAUAUUUGCAAAACCAAAUAGGGCAUUGCACCACUUCUAUGAAACACAGCAGCAGCUUUGCUGCUGUUGUAGUUCAGAAGGGGUUAAUAUAAGUUUCCUGAGGCUUGGAGGUGGAAGGUUGCAGAGAACACAAAGCCUGUUAGACCCAAAGCAAGUUAUUCGUAAUAGUGCUGAACUGAACAAGGGGAAAUGGGAGUGAAAAUGAGAACUCCCUAAAUUUGAACUAUCACUUCCUAUGAAAACUGUGACCAGACAACUUUUUCUUUUAUACAGUGGAAAGCCUUACAGAGCUUUAUUAGGUUUAAAAUUUGUGUAAAGCUUUUAAUCCAUAACUUUUUGAAACUUGUUCUCAAAACAUAGGGUUGAUUGCACUAAUUAUGGCACUCAUUUUCUUUUCCUUAAGAAAAAGAUGGACACAGUGACAGGAAGUUUGGAGAAGUCAAAACACAAGAGGUAAUUAGUGGAACUAGCUGUGCCUAGUCCAGCAUGCAGAACAGCAUUGCUGUGGCUGCGUAGUUUGUCAUCAUGUGGCUCAAAACACAGCUGCCCUUGGCUUCUGUAAUGGUCAGUUAAACCAGGUGGUGGAGUGGGGUUUCUGCUCAGCAGGGACACUUCCCAUGUUUCUAUCUUCCUUUCCUCUAAAUGGUUUUAGACAGCAUUAGGGUACAUGUUAAGUGUGAUAUUUCUAACCCCAUCUGCUAACGUAUCUUAAUGGUAAUAAAAGGAGCCAAUAUGUUUGCUUCCACCCUGGUCAGUGAGAAUCCUGCUUCUGAGUUCAAGAGGAGGCUUGGCUUCUGUUUUCAUGUCCCCAGAUAGCCCAGCAGGACCUUUUUAGGCUUCCUUAUGUCAGAUUGUAUAUAAACAAAGAUUAGAGUCCUUGCAAUACCAAGAAAGUAGACACAGCUUUGCAAAUGAAGGAGUCACUUUGUGAAAGCGCUGGCCACAGAAGGUCCAGGAACUUCACUGCCAGUGGCCAAGACUAGACUAUCUGAACCACUGAACAAUUAGCAGACUGACAGGUAGAUUAAUACAAAUAUAUAUAUAUACAUUGGGGUGGUCCAUUUAAUUUAGACUGAAAUCUUUCAGAAGCCAAUUGUGGAGUAAAAGCAUAGCAGCGGCCAGCCACAGACAUACAGUCGGUCUGAGAGUAUUUUGUCACUUUUGUUCCAUCUGGAGCUAGGAAGGAGGUAUGAGGAAACAGGAUGCUCCUCCCAGCAGGCCUCUAAGUUCUUGAAAGGGAUUGUAAAAGAUCAAAUUAAAGAAAGAGGAAAGACUCACCCACUUUUGCCUACUGUUGACACCUUUAGGCUGCUUUGAAAAUAAUUUGGUAGUAUUUCUGCCUGGUAAUGAUUAAUUCUCACAUCAGGAAUCACUUCACUUCAGAAGGGGAGUAUUAAGGAGUCUCCAUUAAGCCUGGAAGCAGAUCCAUUUAACUUAGAGGGAGCAGUUACACACAGUGUGUUUCUGUGCUAUAAAUCCUUGAAACCUGUUCUACUGGUGACAGAUGGCCUGGUUCAGGAUUAAUGAUACAAAAUAUCUGUGCCACUGCAUCAAACAGCUGAAGAAUCUGGCAGCAGAUCCCCAACCAGAAUAAAAUGUGCAGACUACCCUACUUUUCUUCUCCCGGAAAUUUUUCUGGGGCGGGGCAGGGAGAGAGAUUUGGCCAUUUGUCUGAGACUUCUUGGCAGAAAAGAGCCUUCCCAGAGCAAUCCUGUGCAGCAGGAUGCUUUCUCCCUGGAAUUGUGGACAAAUGGCCAUUGUGUGUGGGACUGGCUGGAGCAGCAAGGGGCAGGAUUGCUUCAGGGCUUUGCAUCCCAGGGCACCCAGGACGUGGUGUAACACGAGCCAGAUGCCAUCGUCAAGGUGGUGCCUGGUUGGUUUGUGUUGGAUGUGCUCCGUGGGGUGCGUGUGGCUGUGUUUCAGGGUUCCCCAGACAGGAAUACUGCAGCUGACUGUGACAGGGUUCCAGUGGGAUGCUGAGUGGAUCCAGCAUAACACAUGCUGAUGGGCAUAACAGUGGCAGAAAACUGCCCACCACAGAGGUUCUUUUGGCCUCAUACUCUGUGCUGAAACAG